UACGUAGGGGGCUAGCGUUGUCCGGAAUCAUUGGGCGUAAAGAGCGCGUAGGCGGCUAGAUAAGUCCGGUGUGAAAGUCACAGGCUCAACCUGUGAAUGCCGCUGGAAACUGUCUGGCUAGAGUCCGGAAGGGGCGAGUGGAAUUCCUGGUGUAGCGGUGGAAUGCGCAGAUAUCAGGAGGAACACCGAUGGCGAAGGCAGGUCUCUGGGCCGCAACUGACGCUGAGGAGCGAAAGCAUGGGGAGCGAACAGG
rnacentral:rRNA from 1 species